ACAACUUCAGUCUGCUUUUGUUUUCACGUAGAAAAGAUAUGAAGGCACUAUUAACCCAUGGCGGCAGCUGUUCUCGACAAAAUAAGAAAGUGCAAACAAAUUGAAAGAGCUCAAAGUCAGGGAAAUUGUGGUAGCCGAGGUAGACCAGCCAUUCAAAUAACACAUGACCAAACUGAAUUUUUAAUGAAGCAAGGUCACACAGUCAAACGAAUGGCAAGAAUGUUAGGGUGCUCCUCCUCAUUCUUGUACAAGAGGUCCAAGCUGCUUGGUGUAUCAAUCAGGAGCAGAAUGUCAAGAGUGGAUGAUGGAGAACUUGAAAAUGUAGUGAGACGACUACAAUGCCAGUAUCCAAAUACUGGAAGUAAGAUGAUGUGAGCCUUACUGGUUGCAGAAGGAUUAAAGGUUUCCCGCCAAAGGGUUCGUGAGAUGUUGGUCCUUAUCAAUCCAGCGGCUGCUGCAAGGAGAUGGAACAGCACAGUGACUAGAAGAGUUUAUCAUGUGCCCUAUCCCAACAGUCUCUGGCACAUUGAUGGCAACAUGCGGCUCAUAAGGUGUGGAGGAGAGGGAGGUGAUCGCUCUCACCUGCUGCUCAUUACUGGGCUGAGGUUGCAAACAAAGGUUGCUCAGCAUGCCAGCCACAUUGAAGGUUGCCUUCCGGAGUGCUGUUCCCCUUUGCCUGCCUUGUGUUGCUGUUUGUUGUGUCUCAGACUUUGGUCUUGUGUAAAAUCUACAAGUUACGGCUUAUUGUAGCCCUUUUUGAUCUGUCAUUUGAGUUCCUGUGUAUUGGAAGCUGUAGAGAGAUGGGGCUUUGUGAUUCAUGGUGCAAUCGAUGGACAUUCAUGACUAAUCACAUACCUAAACUGCAACACCGACAACUGUGCCAGUACUGUACCGUCUCAGUUUAUUCAAGCAACAUGCCUUUAUGGUCUGGCCUCUAGGGUAAGGUCAGAUCACAGUGGUGAAAACUUACAAGUGGCCUUGUUCAUGAACCUUGUACAAGGACUUCAGUGCUGGAGUCACAUCACUGGGGAAUCAGUUCACAACCAAAGGAUAGAACGUUUGUGGAGGGAUGUAUUUUUACAUGUUCUAUACAGUCUUGAAGAUUCUGAACUUCUUGAUCCCAGCAAUGACCUUCACAAAGUUUCACUCAGCAUAGUUUUUCUUCCACAGAUCCAAGCUAGACUACAGCACUUCAAAGAGGCAUGGAAUCA